CUGUGGUGUGAAGUGGUUUCUCAUGCCCUUUGUGAUGUGGGCCGUUUGGUGUGAGGUGGUUUCUCAUACCCUUUGUGAUGUGGACCGUUUGAUGUGAGGUGGUUUCUCAUCCCCUUUGUGAUGUGGGCCCUUUGGU